GGUUGCUAUGGCAGCGGGUUGGCGGCGCGGCGCGCGGGCUGGCUGGGAGGGUGCGGGCGGCCUCGGCGGCUGGCGGAGCCCGGGACCUCGAUGGCCGUGCCCGCCGCUCUGAGGGGCUGCGGGGCAGCCUCGCCGCUCUGUCCCUGGGCCCCGGGGAGCCGGCCUCGGAGACGGUUCCAUCGACUUCCAGCUCCUGGCUGCGGCCUGUGGCUUCUCUUCCUGUGUCUAGUUCCUUUUGCUUCUGAGGACUUCAGCCAUGUGGGAUGAAGGCCCCUCUUUCACUCUGGGCACACCUUACCUGAAAACAUCUUCAAAGAUCCUGUUUACAAGUGGGUUCACACCACAGAAACUGCCUUCUGUGGAGGACAUGAUUCAAUCCCCAGUAACAUCUUGUCAAAAAUGAAUUGGCUAUAAAUGGUUAGGGUUUCA